ensembl:lncRNA
GUCUGAACACAAGGAGGUUUUGGCAUUGAUGAAGUGUGCAAAGUAGAGAGGAUGGUGUUUAGUGUUUUGAAGAAAAUGUGGUUAACAAUUGAAAUCUGUGUCUAAAGCAGAUAAUUGUGUGUUGUGUUUUGAAGAAAGUGCGGUUAACAAUUGAAAUCUGUGUCUAAAGCAGAUCAUUGUGCUUAUAGUUUAGCAGAAUUGGUUUAGGGAGUUGGCACAUGAGUUACAGGUUGUGGUCAUUGUGCCAUAAGUUCCAGUUUUUCAAUGUAAUCAAUCGAGAAAAACUGUAAUUUGAUUUCAAUUCAAUAGUUAGUAAUGGUUUAAAUAAGAUCCCAGAUCCAGUAGGUGGCAGCAGUGUAGCAAAUAUCCAGUUUGACAUCGACCACAACAUUUGAUCACUAAUAUUGUUUCUUAUUUUGUUGAUGCUGUGUCCUAAAGGACUUUAGUGAAAUAUUUUUUGUAUGGUUUGUCUGCCUGACUUUCAAUGAAAUAAUUAAAUAGGUAAUCAUACUGUAGGUGUCCACCACCAUAUACGAAAUACCCACAUUUAAUAUUUUAAUUUAUUGCUAGAAAAAAACACGUGAAGUUGUGAAAGAGAACAAAGAAGACGUCAUGGUGCACGGAUAUACGGGCUGAAGUUUGGACUUUUGGAAUGGAAUACAACACAACAAUAAAACUGAAGAAAAACACACAGGUAAAAUUAGUUUAUGCUGCUUAGCAACGGAAGUGCUUUUCCAUUGCAUGGUAUCAUGGACUCGACUCUACUCUACUAUCAAGCCUUUUUGCUUGUGUUUCUGCCUUAAGCCCCUUAUUAAACAUUAUUUGUUUCUUGAGAAGGCUGUUUGUCUGCCUUCUUUAAAGUGUAUUUUCAGUUAGCGAUUAAGAGUCAGUGUGUCAUAGGUGUUCCCAAGUGUAAAUCGCAUAAAUGGUAGCCUAUAUAAACUGAUACCAUUUGCCAUUCUGUAGCAGUGUCUGAAUACUUGUGCGAAUUGUUACACUGAAGUUCUUUAGGACACGGCAUCAACAAAUAUGUUAAACAAUUAAAUAGUGCUGCACGAUUAAUCUAAUUGCAAGCGCAAUCACGUGUUUUAAUAAACGUGAAGCAAGCCAGAGACGCCUGCCUCUGAGAUCGCUACAAUAUACAGACAUUCAAAUGCUUAUCAAGGAUCUGCUGCAAAACUGUUUUGUAACAUCAUUUUUUUUUUAAAUUGCAAAGGUUAUUCCAUUGUCAACCAUUCCAUUGUCAACCAUAGUUGCUUUAUUAUCAUUGGUAAACACGAGACUGACUAAGUUAAAUAUCUACGAAUUAUAAACUUGUUUUGCAUCAAGAAAAGGUGCUUUUAAAUUAGAGUGUUCAUGAAAUAUGUAAACAUACCAUAAAAUAUUUAUUUUACACUUAAAUACUUUCAAGCAAAUACAUAUAUCCCUAAUAAAUACACACAAAUAAUUAUGCUAGAAUGAUGAAUUACCUUUUCAUUAUGUGAGAUUUUUCAGCAAACUGAAGUGAUUGACCAGUUAAAGUUUUAAAGCGCAAGUAAUGUUCCAGGCACUUAAGUGCAAUUUCAUCGACUUCUGGGUCAAAUUUGUUGGCGACAAGAUGCUGCUGCCUGAGAAUCCAGUUGAGAUCACCGGCACCAUACACACACACUGCUCUUCUGUAUCCUCCAUUGCAUGGGGGAUAAGAAGCCCCCUUCCUUACAUCUCCUUCAUGGUAAACCCACUUCACCAGACGGGCUAUGGAGUUCAUGUCCGUCGUGUCGUAUUUGUUGUUGGGAGGGCUGGACCCUGGCAUACCCGGCAUGCGCUGAAGAGAUGCCCAGAGGUGCUCAUCUGGACUGUAUGUGUCCUUCUCCCACUCAAGCAAAGCUUUAGCCUCUGGGUUUUUAAACAAGUGCUCCACAAACUCUCUCGACAGCACAAAGUAAGCAUUUCCAGAGAACAUUGGGCUACUGAUGGGAGGGGGGCUCUUCUUAAUGUCAGUCCGAAUGACAUCAGACUCAGUGACAUUGUGGUGGUACUCCCAGCGAGCCUUCUUGUGCGGAGGAGUUGCCUCAGACUCUAAGCUGUUCCGUCCAUUUAGCACUUUUAGUGCUCGCACCAUCUCUUUGUUGGUUUUGAUGGGGAAGUCAGUUCCACAGGUAUUGAUAAGGUACUUCCACUCAACAGUCGAGUUCAACAGAUCAUUCAUGCAGUUCAGGUCAGCUUGGACUCGAGACCAAGAGGCAUAAACAACCCUCUCCAGUUUGCUUGCCACAAACACAUUUGGAAAACAAGAAACAAUGGCUUCCGCAGCCUUCAUGAAGUUUUCUGGAGACUUCUUGUCCACAUGCACACAGUACACAUUCUGUGGUGUGUACACAGCUCUGAGGAGCCUCUCAAACAUCUCGAUCUUUUCAUGGAUCACCAUGGAAUAGGCAAUAGGAAAGUCCCUCUCUUCUUCACUGAGAGCUACGGUUAGAAACCCCCUGUCUCUGAUGUAAGCACUGCAAUCCUUUGUUGAAUUGAGAUAGAAAGACUCUGGCAACGGUUUACGUUUUCUCUUCUUCAGAAGUCUGCUGAGGUCCUCCUCAUUAAGGCCUUCCACGUCCCCUCGGAUUAUGGCUGAACAUGUCAAUAAUUCUCCCAGGUCACUGCAGGUAAUGGGAAGCAGGUGUACAACAGGUGUACCCCAAGAUUGGAUGGGCUACAAAAGCCCUGAUCAGAUGGCAGUCGGGAGAGCUUUGGAUUGGAGCUUUGGAUUUGGAUAGAGAUUGGAUUUGGGAUACUCGUUGGUUUU